AGAGUUUGAUCAUGGCUCAGGAUGAACGCUAGCUACAGGCUUAACACAUGCAAGUCGAGGGGCAGCAUGAACUUAGCUUGCUAAGUUUGAUGGCGACCGGCGCACGGGUGAGUAACACGUAUCCAACCUGCCGAUGACUCGGGGAUAGCCUUUCGAAAGAAAGAUUAAUACCCGAUGGCAUAGUUCUUCCGCAUGGUAGAACUAUUAAAGAAUUUCGGUCAUCGAUGGGGAUGCGCUCCAUUAGGUUGUUGGCGGGGUAACGGCCACCAAGCCUUCGAUGGAUAGGGGUUCUGAGAGGAAGGUCCCCCANAUUGGAACUGAGACACGGUCCAAACUCCUACGGGAGGCA
rnacentral:rRNA from 1 species